rnacentral:rRNA from 1 species
CACGCCGUAAACGAUGUCAACUAGCCGUUGGGUUCCUUGAGGACUUAGUGGCGCAGCUAACGCAUUAAGUUGACCGCCUGGGGAGUACGGCCGCAAGGUUAAAACUCAAAUGAAUUGACGGGGGCCCGCACAAGCGGUGGAGCAUGUGGUUUAAUUCGAAGCAACGCGAAGAACCUUACCAGGCCUUGACAUCUACAGAACUUUCCAGAGAUGGAUUGGUGCCUUCGGGAACUGUAAGACAG